rnacentral:rRNA from 1 species
AACGAACGCUGGCGGCAUGCCUAACACAUGCAAGUCGAACGAGAUCUUCGGAUCUAGUGGCGCACGGGUGCGUAACGCGUGGGAAUCUGCCCUUUGCUUCGGAAUAACAGUGAGAAAUUACUGCUAAUACCGGAUGAUGUCUUCGGACCAAAGAUUUAUCGGCAAGGGAUAAGCCCGCGUAGGAUUAGGUAGUUGGUGGGGUAAUGGCCUACCAAGCCGACGAUCCUUAGCUGGUCUGAGAGGAUGAUCAGCCACACUGGGACUGAGACACGGCCCAGACUCCUACGGGAGGCAGCAGUGGGGAAUAUUGGACAAUGGGGGAAACCCUGAUCCAGCAAUGCCGCGUGAGUGAUGAAGGCCUUAGGGUUGUAAAGCUCUUUUACCAGGGAUGAUAAUGACAGUACCUGGGGAAUAAGCUCCGGCUAACUCCGUGCCAGCAGCCGCCGUAA